UAUUUCAGAGGGAAGCGGAUAUUUCCUAUAGUAAUCUUAUUCACUAAAAGCCAAUCAUUUUGAAUCUUUGCAAGAGCAUUCUUUUGUGUUUCAGGCGGAGCAGUUUCUUGAGCAAGUGAAGUGCUAGGCAAGUGACUUUAAGGCCAGUUGUCUUCUCAGCACAAACAGGGGUGCAACUGUGAAGAUGCCACCAUCGUUUUGUUUCUGCACCAGCUUAUAAGUUGUUUUGUGUUAUGGAGUAAUUUGGAAUGUUCAACAAAAGCCAGAGAAAUGGAUAUAAAGACCCUGGAAGAGGAACACAAUGCACUUUUAUCAGAUAAAGCUGGAGAAACUGAGUACUUGCAGUCUCUGCUAGACCAAAUUGAAAAACUGAAGGGAUUCACUUCCUGUUAAAUGUGCUUGCGGAGAAGAAUACAAGGUCUGUGUGGACCUUUGUGUGCGACAAAACAUGAACUAAGUGUUUCAACCUUGGAGAACUUGGAAGGAUUAGCAAAGAAUCAAUAUUGGACUAGAAUAUAUAUGUGACUUUCUAUACAGGUAAUCCCACAAACAGAGAAGAAUUUAAUUUUUUAAGACUAAUGUUGCAACAUGAAUCUGAUGAAACUAUAUAUUAAAGAUUUGUUCAAGAUUGGGUUUAAAUAAUUUUACCAAUAAAAAAUAUGGUUUUAGUAAUUUGAGUAGUUAAUUUCUUUGUGAAACUGAACAAAGGGAAUGCCUUUCUUUUAAGGUGUACACAUUGCUGGCCAAUAUAAUUCA